AUACGGAGGAUCCGAGCGUUAUCCGGAUUUAUUGGGUUUAAAGGGUGCGCAGGCGGCCAUUUAAGUCAGCGGUUAAAUCGUGGGGCUCAACCCCAUUCUGCCGUUGAUACUGGGUGGCUUGAUUGCGGUCGAGGUUGGCGGAAUUCGUUGUGUAGCGGUGAAAUGCAUAGAUAUGACGAAGAACACCGAUUGCGUAGGCAGCUGACCAGACCGCAAAUGACGCUCAUGCACGAAAGUGCGGGGAUCGAACAGGAUUAGAUACCCUGGUAGUCCGCACAGUAAACGAUGAAUACUUGUUUUCGGCGAUAUAAUGUCGGAGGCAAAGCGAAAGCGAUAAGUGCUCCACCUGGGGAGUACGCCGGCAACGGUGAAACUCAAAUUAAUUGACGGGG
rnacentral:rRNA from 1 species